rnacentral:rRNA from 1 species
GAGAGAUUAUCGGAGAAGGAGCGGCCCGCGUUAGAUAGAUAGUUGGUGGGGGUAACGGCCUACCAAGUCCUACGAUCUAUAGCUGGUUUUAGAGGAUGAUCAGCAACACUGGGACUGAGACACGGCCCAGACUCCUACGGGAGGCAGCAGUGGGGAAUCUUGGACAAUGGGCGCAAGCCUGAUCCAGCCAUGCCGCGUGAGUGAUGAAGGCCUUAGGGUCGUAAAGCUCUUUCGCCAGAGAAGAUAAUGACAGUAUGCUGGUAAAGAAACCCCGGCUAACUCCGUGCCAGCAGCCGCGGUAAUACGGAGGGGGUUAGCGUUGUUCGGAAUUACUGGGCGUAAAGCGCACGUAGGCGGACUAGAAAGUUGGGGGUGAAAUCCCAGGGCUCAACCCUGGAAC